rnacentral:rRNA from 1 species
AACGUAAAGAACCUGCCUUAUAGACUGGGACAACUAUUGGAAACGAUAGCUAAUACCGGAUAACAGCAUUAACUGCAUGGUUGAUGUUUGAAAGUUGGUUUUGCUAACACUAUGAGAUGGCUUUGCGGUGCAUUAGCUAGUUGGUGGGGUAAAGGCCUACCAAGGCGACGAUGCAUAGCCGACCUGAGAGGGUGAUCGGCCACACUGGGACUGAGACACGGCCCAG